GGUGUGUUUUUGCAAGUAUGAUCCACAGUUGACAUCCAUGCCUGCAAUUAAUUGUUAAACAAUGUUCAAAAACUCUGGUAAAAUAAACAGUUGUUAGUUCAAAGAAUUUCCUAAACAAAAGGUAUUAUGGACUAUGUACACAUCUUUUAAUCCGUCUAAUUAAAAUGCAACUAAGAUCCUUCUGAAUGAUCUGCAACUAUUCAACUCAAUAAGAAAUUCUUUUAGUUCUCCCAUAGAACUAUGCUCUGUACCCACAUCCGCAUAGAAUUCUCUUGUACUGGCCUCUAGCAUAGCAAGUGGGAAGUAAAAUGCUUUGAGCAUGUUAAAUCAUUUCCCUGCACAUAAUUAAUCCAUUCAUGGAAUUUUCCUUAUUUUUAUCACGAACUUCAAGAGGAUGCAAUUACACAACUUCAUGUCAUUUCAACUUUUAACAUAUUUAGAGAUUAUUCAUAGAAAUUAAGCAUUUUACUCAAGCAAAGAAUUAAAAUAAAAAAAAAGGUUAAACUUCUGCUAAGUGUUCCAACUCGCUCAAAAGAUUUGAUCAUUGUUCUGCAAAACUAUAAGAUUGUCGAUUAUAUAAUGUGAGUUCAAUGCAGUAUAUACACAAGAUAUGACGAAAGUGAGCCCGCUAACUGUAAAUAUACACCCAAAUUUUUGUCUUGUCACAGGGUAUCAGAAGAAAAAAGGGACAUGUUCCAGAACAGGUAUGCCAUAUAAGUCGUAUUACUCUUUGCAGCAAUGACUACAAUCUUGGUCAUGAAUCAUGAGUCCAGCCAAUCAUAUACCCAGCACCUAACUACAUUUAGAGUAUUCUAUGACCACAAAAGGAUAGAAGGGAAACCGUAAUAGAAAAAACAUGAGAAUUGAGAAGAAACUUCAGUCUAUUCAAACAGUUACUAUGAUAAGAGUAUGUAACAAUUGCUUAUUACCAUAAGCUUUUGGUGGAAAACCUAUGGGCUGUUUUGAUGUGUGGACCCAUAAGAUGAUAAUGGUCCAAAAUCUCAAUUAAUGAAUUACAGAUGUGACGCAUAAUCUACCAGUCCGCGCUAAAAACAGAAGCAUAUGUCAUCUUUAUGACACUAGACUAUGAAAGAUCAAGAGAGGUCCCAUACCAGCUUUAAGCACAUCAACCACAGCAUCUUCUGGU
rnacentral:misc_RNA from 1 species